GAGAAUCAUUCACAAUGGGGGCAACCCUGAUGGUGCAACGCCGCGUGGAGGAAGAAGGUCUUCGGAUUGUAAACUCCUGUCAUCUAGGAGCAAGGCAUGGUGGUGAAUAGCCAACAUGAUUGAUAGUACUAGAAGAGGAAGGGACGGCUAACUUCGUGCCAGCAGCCGCGGUAAUACGAAGGUCCCGAGCGUUAUUCGGAAUCACUGGGCGUAAAGGGAGCGUAGGCGGCGUGGAAAGUCAGAUGUGAAAUCCCAGAGCUUAACUCUGGAACUGCAUCCGAUACUACCAUGCUAGAGUAUUGGAGGGGUAACUGGAAUUCUCGGUGUAGCAGUGAAAUGCGUAGAUAUCGAGAGGAACACUCGUGGCGAAAGCGAGUUACUGGACAAUUACUGACGCUGAGGCUCGAAGGCUAGGGGAGCAAAAGGGAUUAGAUACC
rnacentral:rRNA from 1 species